CUGCUACUAUUCAAGCCCCUGCCACACUUUUGGACUUCCUUCUCGUUCCCAGCAAAAUGCACAGUUUGCUGGCAAGACUAGGCAGUCCAGAUGUGUGGCAGCGGCAGUUUUUGGUGAGUUU
rnacentral:pre_miRNA from 14 species